GCCUCGCUAGCUCAAUCGGUAGAGCGUGUGACUCUUAAUCACAAGGCUGCGGGUUCGAGCCCCGCGUGGGGCU
rfam:Wallemia ichthyophaga EXF-994 unplaced genomic scaffold scaffold28, whole genome shotgun sequence.